GUGCUCGCUUCGGCAGCACAUAUACUAAAAUAAGAAUGAUACAGAGAAGAUUAGCAUGACCCCUGCACAAGGAUGACAUACAGAUUUGUGAAGCAUUCCAUUUUUUU